AGACUAGAGAAUGGGAGAGGGAGGUGGAAUUCCGGGUGUAGUGGUGAAAUGCGUAGAUAUCCGGAGGAACACCAGUGGCGAAAGCGGCCUCCUAGACCAUUUCUGACGCUAAGACGCGAAAGCUAGGGUAGCAAACGGGAUUAGAGACCCCGGUAGUCCUAGCUGUAAACGAUGUAGACUUGGCGUUGGCGGAGUUAAAUCUGCCAGUGCCGUAGCUAACGCGAUAAGUCUACCGCCUGGGGACUACGAUCGCAAGAUUAAAACUCAAAGGAAUUGACGGGGACCCGCACAAGCAGCGGAGCGUGUGGUUUAAUUCGAUGCUACACGAAGAACCUUACCAGGGUUUGACAUGUAAGUGGUAGUGAUCCGAAAGGUGAACGACCCCUCGGGGAGCUUACACAGGUGCUGCAUGGCUGUCGUCAGCUCGUGUCGUGAGAUGUUCGGUUAAGUCCGCUAACGAGCGCAACCCUCACUGUGUGUUACAAGUGUCACACGGGACUGCCGGUUUUAAGCCGGAGGAAGGCGAGGAUGACGUCAAGUCAGCAUGGCCUUUAUGUCCUGGGCUACACACACGCUACAAUGGUCGGUACAAUAGGUUGCCAAGCCGCAAGGCGGAGCCAAUCCCUAAAGCCGGCCUCAGUUCAGAUUGCAGGCUGCAACUCGCCUGCAUGAAGCUGGAGUUGCUAGUAACCG
rnacentral:rRNA from 1 species